rnacentral:snRNA from 1 species
ACCGAUACCAUCAACAAA